rnacentral:rRNA from 1 species
UGGCAUUUUCCCAAACGGAGGAAAAGAAACCAACAGGGAUUGCCCUAGUAACGGCGAGUGAAGCGGCAACAGCUCAAAUUUGAAAUCUGGCCUCUUUUGGGGUCCGAGUUGUAAUUUGCAGAGGGCGCUUUGGAGUCGGCAGCGGUCCAAGUUCCUUGGAACAGGACGUCACAGAGGGUGAGAAUCCCGUACGUGGUCGCUAGCCUUCUCCGUGUAAAGCCCCUUCGACGAGUCGAGUUGUUUGGGAAUGCAGCUCUAAAUGGGAGGUAAAUUUCUUCUAAAGCUAAAUAUUGGCCAGAGACCGAUAGCGCACAAGUAGAGUGAUCGAAAGAUGAAAAGCACUUUGGAAAGAGAGUCAAAAAGCACGUGAAAUUGUUGAAAGGGAAGCGCUUGCAGCCAGACUUGCCUGUAGUUGCUCAUCCGGGCUUUUGCCCGGUGCACUCUUCUAUAGGCAGGCCAGCAUCAGUUUGGGCGGUUGGAUAAAGGUCUCUGUCAUGUACCUCUCUUCGGGGAGAACUUAUAGGGGAGACGCCAUGCAACCAGCUCAGACUGAGGUCCGCGCAUUCGCUAGGAUGCUGGCGUAAUGGCUGUAAGCGGCCCGUCUUGAACCUUGAACACAGG